rnacentral:rRNA from 1 species
UAGGGAAUCUUCCGCAAUGGGCGAAAGCCUGACGGAGCAAUGCCGCGUGAGUGAUGAAGGUUUUCGGAUCGUAAAGCUCUGUUGCCAGGGAAGAACGCUUGGGAGAGUAACUGCUCUCAAGGUGACGGUACCUGAGAAGAAAGCCCCGGCUAACUACGUGCCAGCAGCCGCGGUAAUACGUAGGGGGCAAGCGUUGUCCGGAAUUAUUGGGCGUAAAGCGCGCGCAGGCGGUCAUUUAAGUCUGGUGUUUAAUCCCGGGGCUCAACCCCGGAUCGCACUGGAAACUGGGUGACUUGAGUGCAGAAGAGGAGAGUGGAAUUCCACGUGUAGCGGUGAAAUGCGUAGAUAUGUGGAGGAACACCAGUGGCGAAGGCGACUCUCUGGGCUGUAACUGACGCUGAGGCGCGAAAGCGUGGGGAGCAAACAGGAUUAGAUACCCUGGUAGUCCACGCCGUAAACGAUGAGUGCUAGGUGUUAGGGG